GGAUGCAAUCGUCCUAUUAUUAACUCUGAUAAUAUGGAAGUCAUUGACACAAUGAAAAAUGAAGGACAAUCGAUGGGAGCAGUCUUCAAGUAUUGCUACUUCAUGACAUGUGAUUUCCUGUUGACUAGAUUUAAACAUUGUAAUAGGGUAGCUAAUAAGGUUAGUCAUGAUCUUGCUGCGAAAGUUUCUGUAACUAGAGAUUGGUUUGAGGAGCCUAUGAAGAAUAUUGUACAUUUUCUUAUAGAUGAUGUAAUCAUUAUUUCCAAUUAA
rnacentral:rRNA from 1 species